GCUUACGGCCAUACCACCCUGAACGCGCCCGAUCUCGUCCGAUCUCGGAAGGUAAGCAGGGUCGGGCCUGGUUAGUACUUGGAUGGGAGACCGCCUGGGAAUACCAGGUGCUGUAAGCC
rnacentral:rRNA from 15 species